rnacentral:rRNA from 1 species
AUGGUCAAGAGCAUACCGGAUACCUUCAUGUCAUUGCCCACUUAUUUGGAUUCAUUCACAUUCCCUCUCAUUGAAGAAGUACAUGCUGAUGUCUUUUCAUCAUUGGACGGUUAUGCCCAGGCAAACUUUAUAGAAAUAAUCUGGGUGGAGAAGUUUGAUGACGAGAAAUCAAUAUUCUGUUUUGAGGUUUCCGAGCCAUCAAAGUAUCAGAAGUUGAGGGAGACAUACAAUCCCAAAGAGGGGGACAUAAUAAUUUUGUCCUUGCAGAAACCACAGCAUGUGUCUGAUUUGAGACAAACUAAGGCAUCAUAUGUUUUCGGUUCAGUUCUGAAAUCUGGAGACAAAGAAGAUGGAGAUUUCCCAGCCAAUUUUUGCAUCGUUCGGUUUUCAUCCAAUAUUCCCGUUGAAGUAGACCCAGAAACAGGAACGCCUUUGGCGCCAUCAUUUGCUGUGUUUCUCAUAAAUAUGAUGACGUACAACCGUAUAUGGAAGUGCCUGCAUAUGGAAGCUUCUGAUAUCGCUAAUCUGGUGUGGCCAUACAAGCUAAAGGUAGUGCAUGAUACCUCGUCAUGCUCCCAGAUAUCCCAAUGCUUCACUCGUAAAUCUAUUGAUGGUCUUGGCCUUGAGAAGUUUGACUUAAAUGAUUCACAGCUGAAUGCAGUGGCAGACUGUGUCUCAGUAAUGGAGAACCACUCGCCUUCCCUAAAACUAAUACGGGGACCCCCUGGGACAGGUAAAACAAAAACCAUCAGCACUAUCCUGUGGGCAAUGCUCAUCAAGGGCGUAAAGACACUUACCUGUGCUCCGACAAAUACUGCUGUAUUGGAAGUUGCAUCUCGAAUUGUCAGGCUUGUUAGAGAGUCAUCAGAUGGUAGCGUCUGCUUUUUGAAUGACAUUGUCCUGUUUGGAAAUAAAGAGAGGAUGAAAAUAGAUGAUAGUCAUGAUCUUUCUACGGUAUUUCUUGACUCACGUGCAAAGCGGUUGUUGCCAUGUUUCGUACCACACAGUGGUUGGAGGCAUUGCUUGUGCUCACUGAUAGAUCUUCUUGAGAAUCCAGUGACCAAGUACAAAUUGCAUAUUGAGCAUAUUCUUACAAAAAGGGAGAUGAAAAAGGAGAUGUCUGAAAAGCAUGGGGACAAACCCCUCAUGUGCGAGGAUGGGCAUUGUUCGCCCCCAUGUUAUCCUUUAGGUCAGCUUGUCGCACCUUUCUCUCUGUUCUGCAAGACGAUCCAUAACAGGGCUGAAGACGAGGAAGAAGAGUGCCAUAAGGAAGGAUGGCAUGACUAUGAAGCUAUGAUGGAGGCAUUCAGAGAAGUACCAUUCAAGAAUUAUUUGAAAGAUAGAUACAACAAACUUUCUAAGGAUUUGCGCUGUUGCAUUGAGAAACUAUAUAAUGAUCAUCCAAGAAAAUCAGAAGCAGCGCAGAUCUUUCAGUGUAUGCUGGAAGUGCUUGAAUUAAUCAAAAUUCUCCAUCCUUUGAUAAAUCGUGACAGGGGUAAUGAUGACAUAUGGUCAGAGGAACUUCUUGAGGGCAAAGUAGAAGAGGACUGUAAUCCUGUUUCCUGGCCUGAGAAGCUAGCCUGUGUGCGGACUAACACAUGCAGUAAAUCCAAGUUCAAGCUGGCUAGAUCCCUGUGUGUGCAAGGAUUAAGAUAUCUUUGCAAAAACUUUAUUCUUCCAGAUUUUUACAGUAGGAGGGGAGUUCAAUUCUAUCUUCUGCAGAGAGCGGAAUGCAUUCUCUGUACAGUUUUCAGCUCUUUCAGAUUAUACAAUGUGACCAUGGAUAAUUCCCCUUCAUCAUCAGAUACAUGUUUGGUCAAGAAGCCUGAAAAUUUGAAUCUUGGCUUGCUAAUUGUCGACGAGGCUGCACAGCUCAAAGAGUGUGAGACCUUAAUUCCCUUGCUGCUGCCUGGCAUAAAGCAGGCUGUUUUUAUCGGAGACGAAUAUCAGUUACCUGCUCUGGUGAAAAGCAAAAUAUCUGACAAUGCUAAAUUCGGGCGAAGUGUUUUUUAG